rnacentral:misc_RNA from 1 species
GGAUGGAAUCGAUUCGCUGCUGGAGGCGCAGCUGCGGUACUCGUACUGCGCUUACCUCCAGAGCCUGGGACUCCGGCUCCAGAUGCCGCAGACUACGAUUGGGACUGCGAUGGUGCUUUGUCACCGGUUCUUUGUCCGGAGAUCGCAUGCUUGUCAUGACAGAUUCUUAGUUGCAACAGCAGCUCUAUUCCUAGCCUCCAAAUCUGAGGAGACACCAUGCCUUUUGAACACUGUACUCAGGACUUCUUGUGAAGUUUGCCAG